rnacentral:rRNA from 1 species
AUGAACGCUGGCGGCGUGCCUAAUACAUGCAAGUCGAGCGAACAGACGAGGAGCUUGCUCCUUUGACGUUAGCGGCGGACGGGUGAGUAACACGUAGGUAACCUACCUAUAAGACUGGGAUAACUUCGGGAAACCGGAGCUAAUACCGGAUAAUAUUUCGAACCGCAUGGUUCGAUAGUGAAAGAUGGCUUUGCUAUCACCUAUAGAUGGACCUGCGCCGUAUUAGCUAGUUGGUAAGGUAACGGCUUACCAAGGCAACGAUACGUAGCCGACCUGAGAGGGUGAUCGGCCACACUGGAACUGAGACACGGUCCAGACUCCUACGGGAGGCAGCAGUAGGGAAUCUUCCGCAAUGGGCGAAAGCCUGACGGAGCAACGCCGCGUGAGUGAUGAAGGUCUUCGGAUCGUAAAACUCUGUUAUUAGGGAAGAACAAACGUGUAAGUAACUGUGCACGUCUUGACGGUACCUAAUCAGAAAGCCACGGCUAACUACGUG